rnacentral:rRNA from 1 species
CCAAGGCAUGCCUAGUACGGCGAGUGAGCGGCAACAGCUCAAAUUUGAAAGCUGGCUCCGGCCCGCAUUGUAAUUUGCAGAGGAUGCUUUUGGCGAGGUGCCUUCCGAGUUCCCUGGAACGGGACGCCAUAGAGGGUGAGAGCCCCGUAUGGAUGGACACCAGACCUGUGUAAAGCUCCUUCAACGAGUCGAGUAGUUUGGGAAUGCUGCUCUAAAUGGGAGGUAAAUCUCUUCUAAAGCUAAAUACCGGCCAGAGACCGAUAGCGCACAAGUAGAGUGAUCGAAAGAUGAAAAGCACCUUGAAAAGGGGGUUAAACAGUACGUGAAAUUGUUGAAAGGGAAGCAUUUAUGACCAGACUUGCGCCGGGCAGCUCAUCAGGGGUUCUCCCCUGUGCACUCUGCCCGGCUCAGGCCAGCAUCGGUUCUCGUGGGAGGAUAAGAACAGUGGGAACGUGGCCCCCCUCCGGGGGGGUGUUAUAGCCCAUUGUACGAUACUCUCGUGGGGACCGAGGUUCGCGCUCCGCAAGGAUGCUGGCGUAAUGGUCAUCAAUGACCCGUCUGCCC